ensembl:lncRNA
GGGGGUCCCAGGCGGGACAGCCACCGCCCCGCGUCCUGGCACCGCGGGACCCUACGUUUGUUUUUUGUCCCCUCUCUCCCCCUCGGCGCAAAGUUAUCCGUCCUCCCCUGCCUUGCACUGAGGAAGACAGUAGCUGUGGGGAGGAAGGCUGUAUCCGAGCACCCCCUCCUCCCAUGCUCGCCUCCUCUCAUCUCCCCGUGCCGUCCCCGAACCCACACCGGUACCGGACGGCGCUGAGCGUCACGACCGCAGGGACGGAACCACGGCCGCAGGGCGCCCAGGGGCGCGGUGAUGGCUGUCGGCCGUCGGCCCGGCCCUGGGUGAAGCGCACCCAGCGAGACCCCGUUCCAGCCCUCUCCUCCCGAAGCAGCCCAAGUGGCUCUCAGGUGGGGGAUCCUACGCUUCCCCUUCUUCGAAACUUGUCUCCCCUGGGGGUCCCUGUUCGCAGGAGAGCGGGGGGCUCCCGCCGAGCCCUUUCCCCACCCCUGGGCCGGAUCCCGUAGGAGCGGCGGCGCCCGCAGCCCGUGGCCGUGCCGCGGCGGUGGCGCUGUCCAUGGUGCUGGGUCCGCCCGAGCGCCGCGGGCACCGGCGGAGCCCCGAGGGGACGGCGGGGGGCAGGAUCUGGGCAACGCGGAUGGGGCUGCGGGAGGUCGCGGGGAUACGUGGCUGUGACCACGGAAGCGGCGUCGGGUAAAAGUGCCACAGCCAACUCCGCCCGUGUCCCGGAGGUUCGGGCAGCCCCCCCGGCUCGUGCUACCUCCCAGAGAGAGGGAGGCAAAGGAAACCAUUUUGCAUCCACAUCAUUUGUACUGCUCUAGUGGUAAUUAAAAAUAAAUAACUAAGGUGCACUUAAAGAGGUAUAGAACUUGAAGAUUUCCCGUCCAGGCUUCGUCCCAGGAUCAAAUUAAAUCCCUUGACUAAAUUAGCGACAGAGCUCACUGGGAGCGAAGAUAAAAGUUACAACGUGCGAGAAGGACACCGAGAGCCGCUGGCCGAAGCUCUCUGCUGAGUGUCGCACACCGAUGGCACUGCCACGCUCCGUGCCGCACCCCGCGGAGGUGCGGGACACGGCCCGCCAGCGGGGAGGGGAGGCUAUUUCCACUCCCGUCGGUGGCAGAGGGCUCUUCACGUAGGGUGCUUUACAAAAAUAAAUAAAUAAACAAACAAAUAAAUAAAAGAAAAAGGGAAUAAAAAGCAAGCAAGCAAACAAACAAACAAAAAACAAAACGAGAAAGCGCGCAAACAACCAAUAAACAACAACAACAACAACAACAACAACAAUGAACAAAAAACAAUAAUUCAGUACUUGGCGAGUUACGAUUAAAAAGAGAGGGCGUAAAAGGCUCUCGGGAGCGGGGAAAUGAGCGUUUGGGUUAUUCAUCUGAUUGUGUCCGAGAUGGCAGCUUUAAAGAGGGAGUUUGAAGGCAGAGCUCUGGAGACAGCUCUUUGCCAGGCAUUAGGGGAUUAGGUGGGGCUUGAGCAAAGGGAAAUGGGAACCACAAAAGAGGACGGCCCGGGCGUUCCUGGCUAGGGGGUCAGCUCUCCCCGUGCCGCACUUCGCGAGCAAUACCCGCUAUUGUCUGCGCCGGGACAAACCCGCCCGCAGACCAGACCUCGGGUGCGUCCCUGUGUGCUGAGCCCCGCGGAGGGGUGCGGGGCAGAGUCCAGGUAGACCGCUUCGGCCGUGGGCCCGGCGGAUCGCGACUCUCUGUAUGGGGCUGGGCGACCCGCGGUCCCACGUGGGCGCUGCGAGAGGCGGAGCGGGAUAUAGUGAGACAGCACCCCGCAGGGCAGCGCGGCGGCGGAGCGAUGCUCUCCCCGGCACUGAUCUCAUUCCCCACUCGUGUUUCAGGCCGGGAGAGGCUUUCGGGGUUAUGUUCACGGAAAAUCUCGAGGCCUCGUGGUAUAGCCAACGUUGCUUGCCCUGAGGGUCGGGACGCGGAGCCUCCUCGUGCCGGACACGGGGUGGGCAAAGAGGGCUGCUGAGAGGCGGACCUCCCCAGCGUGCUUCCCCGUCAGGGGUCACAGCGUGGAGAGCAGAGAAGUGCCUCGGUUUAUGAGCAAAGUUAAACUGGGGCGGCACGUCUCCGAGGAUUCACAGCUCACCUACACGUCUGAGAGGUCCUCAGGAAGUGUGAAUGAAUGCAUUUCUGAAUACAGAUCUUUUUUUUAUUUUUAUUUUUUAUUUUUUAAAUUUUUUAUUUUUAAUAAUCUCAGAACAAUUUCCCAGCACUUCCAGCACGCACGCAGGGUGCCGCCGAGGGGGAGGGCUCAACCGCUGCCCGCUUCCCAUCAGAGAAGCCCUUCCUCCCCCAUCUGCACCAGGAGAGAAGUUCGCAGGGUGCGCGCCACAGCUGCGGGAUCCACAGCAAAUGCUGCGGUACGGCAAUGGCUCUCUUCAUGCUUGUAUGCCCGUCUGUGCCUGACACCCACAUCUUCACACGGGGCCAGGAGGGAGAGAGCUCACGAGGACGAAUAAAGGUGCUUGGAACGAGUGGAACUGCACCCAUCGGCCAGUGCGGGCUCGGAGAUCAUCUGCGUCUUCCCAUUUGGCCACUUUUUGUUUUUGCCACCAUUGAAAUGACAGUACUUAGGACGGCGAAAUGCGGAGAUGCAGUAAAGCUGCUUGUCUGAAUCCACUUUGAAGUAAUAAUGCUGUUGGUCUGAAAUCCAGAUCUGCCCGCUAAUCUCUGGUUUUGCCUUCAAACGGAAUUCAGAUACAAAGAGCUUGGAAAGAUUUUGCGUCUAUUCAAGAGGCACAAAAUCUUUAAUUUUCUGAGGAGCAAAAACUCCCCAAGAAACUUCAUAUAGCUCCUUGGGUUUUGCUUAGCAUACGUGAUAAAACAUUGAUUGUCGCAGUCUGGUGACCCAUGAAAUUUGGGGGUUAGUUUUCUCUUCAGACCAGAGCAUAUAAUUAUGCAAAUAAAGAGCUGUCACCGAUCUAGUGAAAUACUCACAAACACACGCAAUCCGAAAUGGAACAGAAAUGUGAAAAUUUGCGGCAUUACGAUGGUGCAAUGAUAAAUGACAUCUCCUCCCAACUUUCUCGAGAAGUGCAUUAUUUCACACUUUGUCGACACAAUGCGGGCGCGCACCGAGGCGCGCACACCCGUCCCUGCAGGAUCCGGGUACCCGGGAUCACAGCUGCGUGCACAGACAUACGUGCAUCCCUCGAUCCGCGAGAUGCAGCGCUGCCCGAGUGCGCUGCGCGGGACGCGCACGUUCCUGGCAGCUCGUUUCGGGUUUGACUGAGUCGAGCACGGUGCAGUGUGUAGCUCCGCGCAGCCUUAGAUGUGACGCUUUCUUUUGUACGUCUGAAUGAAACACCUAGAGGGGGAAAGAAAACAGUCGGUGAUGCUUCUCGGGGACAGGGGAGAAAUGUCCUUUCCCACGAAAAGCCGCAUCUUUUCACCGAGUCCCGGAGAACAGCACCGUGAUGGCCGCAACCGGCGUGCAGCAAUGUGCCCACGAUGCAAAUGAGGGGUUGAUUUGCCUUCCCCCUACACCCCUCCCAUUUUAUUUUACGCAGUCCCGCUGUGUUUGGGGGUCCACAUGGAGCCGGUGGCUGCUUUCCUGGAGUAGCAUUUUCCCCGCUCCCCUCCCUGGCGAGAAGAUGCGGCUCUUGUCGGCCCAUGGUGGGGAGCCGCUCUGCUACGAAGCACUGUGCAGUACUCAUCCCACUGUGUAUGUAUAUUUAUACAUUUU